GACAGAGGAUGCAAGCGUUAUCCGGAAUGAUUGGGCGUAAAGCGUCUGUAGGUGGCUUUUUAAGUCUGCCGUCAAAUCCCAGGGCUUAACCCUGGACAGGCGGUGGAAACUACCAAGCUGGAGUACGGUAGGGGCAGAGGGAAUUUCCGGUGGAGCGGUGAAAUGCGUAGAGAUCGGGAGGAACACCAGUGGCGAAGGCGACUACCUGGCCUGUUCUUGACGCUGAGGCGCGAAAGCUAGGGGAGCAAACGGG
rnacentral:rRNA from 1 species